rnacentral:misc_RNA from 1 species
CAACCCUCAAGCUCUGCUUGGUGUUGGGGCAUUACCCUCCUGUUUCUACAGGAGGGUAAGCCCUGAAAUUUAGUGGCGAGCUCGCCAGGACUCCGAGCGCAGUAGUGUAAACCUCGCUUUGGACUGUACUGGCGCGGCCUAGCCGUAAAACCCCCCAAUUUCUGAAA